rnacentral:rRNA from 1 species
GAUGGACGCUGGCGGCGUGCCUAAUACGUGCAAGUCGAGCGAACGGACGAGAAGCUUGCUUCUCUGAUGUUAGCGGCGGACGGGUGAGUAACACGUGGAUAACCUACCUAUAAGACUGGGAUAACUUCGGGAAACCGGAGCUAAUACCGGAUAAUAUUUUGAACCGCAUGGUUCAAAAGUGAAAGACGGUCUUGCUGUCACUUAUAGAUGGAUCCGCGCUGCAUUAGCUAGUUGGUAAGGUAACGGCUUACCAAGGCAACGAUGCAUAGCCGACCUGAGAGGGUGAUCGGCCACACUGGAACUGAGACACGGUCCAGACUCCUACGGGAGGCAGCAGUAGGGAAUCUUCCGCAAUGGGCGAAAGCCUGACGGAGCAACGCCGCGUGAGUGAUGAAGGUCUUCGGAUCGUAAAACUCUGUUAUUAGGGAAGAACAUAUGUGUAAGUAACUGUGCACAUCUUGACGGUACCUAAUCAGAAAGCCACGGCUAACUACGUG